UACAGAGGGUGCGAGCGUUUAAUCGGAAUUACUGGGCGUAAAGCGCGCGUAGGCGGUUUUGCAAGUCGGGUGUGAAAUCCCCAGGCUUAACCUGGGAACUGCAUUCGAGACUGCAUUACUAGAGUAUGGGAGAGGGAAGUGGAAUUUCCGGUGUAGCGGUGAAAUGCGUAGAUAUCGGAAGGAACAUCAGUGGCGAAAGCGACUUCCUGGACCAAUACUGACGCUCAUGUGCGAAAGCGUGGGGAGCAAACAGG
rnacentral:rRNA from 1 species